GGCGGCAGAAAUGCGUCGCCGCAGUCGCCAAGGCACAUUUUACAGUUUGCAAACAA
rnacentral:sRNA from 1 species